AUUGAACGCUGGCGGCAGGCCUAACACAUGCAAGUCGAGCGAGCGGCGGACGGGUGAGUAAUGAAUGAGGACUGCCUGAUAGAGGGGGAUAACUACUGGAAACGGUGGCUAAUACCGCAUACUAUCGGAUAACCUAUAUGGGAUUAGCGAGCAGGUGGGGUAAAGGCUCACCUAGGCGAAGAUUCCCAGCAGGUCUGAGAGGAUGAUCGGCCACACUGGGACUGAGACACGGCCCAGACUCCUACGGAGGCAGCAGUGGGGAAUAUUGGACAAUGGGCGCAAGCCUGAUGCAGCCAUGCCGCGUGUAUGAAGAAGGCCUUAGGGUUGUAAAGUACUUUCAGCGGGGAGGCGUUACCCGCAGAAGAAGCACCGGCUAACUCCGUGCCAGCAGCCGCGGUAAUUC
rnacentral:rRNA from 1 species